AUUGAACGCUGGCGGCAGGCCUAACACAUGCAAGUCGAACGGUAACAGGAAGCAGCUUGCUGCUUCGCUGACGAGUGGCGGUCGGGUGAGUAAUGUCUGGGAAGCUGCCUGAUGGAGGGGGAUAACUACUGGAAACGGUAGCUAAUACCGCAUAAUGUCGCAAGACCAAAGAGGGGGACCUUCGGGCCUCUUGCCAUCGGAUGUGCCCAGAUGGGAUUAGCUUGUUGGUGGGGUAACGGCUCACCAAGGCGACGAUCCCUAGCUGGUCUGAGAGGAUGACCAGCCACACUGGAACUGAGACACGGUCCAGACUCCUACGGGAGGCAGCAGUGGGGAAUACUGCACAAUGGGCGCAAGCCUGAUGCAGCCAUGCCGCGUGUAUGAAGAAGGCCUUCGGGUUGUAAAGUACUUUCAGCGGGGAGGAAGGGAGUAAAGUUAAUACCUUUGCUCAUUGACGUUACCCGCAGAAGAAGCACCGGCUAACUCCGUG
rnacentral:rRNA from 1 species